GACGAACGCUGGCGGCGUGCUUAACACAUGCAAGUCGAACGGAAAGGCCCUGCUUUUGUGGGGUGCUCGAGUGGCGAACGGGUGAGUAACACGUGAGUAACCUGCCCUUGACUUUGGGAUAACUUCAGGAAACUGGGGCUAAUACCGGAUAGGAGCUCCUGCUGCAUGGUGGGGGUUGGAAAGUUUCGGCGGUUGGGGAUGGACUCGCGGCUUAUCAGCUUGUUGGUGGGGUAGUGGCUUACCAAGGCUUUGACGGGUAGCCGGCCUGAGAGGGUGACCGGAGCGAAGGGGAAUGAGAAAAGGGCGGGAGGAAGCAGGGGCGGGACAGGGGGGGAGGGUGCGGACGGGUUGGAGGUGAGAUGCCGCUGCGGCGGGGGAGGGAGGGGGGGAGUGGGGUGGGAAAAAAGUGUAGCCGGUUACGAAGGGGGAGUGGCGGUAGUGGGUAAAGAAGAAAAGGCUAACUAGACG
rnacentral:rRNA from 1 species